GCUCAGGGCCUGGGGCAGUGAUCUCUGGACGAGCCCCCAAAUGAAAGACCCCUGGUAGCAGGGAGACCCUCACUCAAGUCUCGGGAUGAUGCGACGCCCUAAGUAACUCACAUGAGACC
rnacentral:pre_miRNA from 14 species